GGAUUAGGCAUGCAAGUCGCACGUGAAAGCCGCAAGGCGAGUAAAGUGGCGGACGGGCGAGUAACACGUAGUCAAGCUACCCUGGAGACGGGGAUAACCUCGGGAAACCGAGGCUAAUACCCGAUGGUGCUGUUGGGUUGCAUGAUCUGGCAGCUAAAUGGGGGGGAUCCUACGGGACCUCCUGCUCUGGGAGGUGACUGCGGCGCAUCAGCUAGUUGGCGGGGUAAAGGCCCACCAAGGCUAAGACGCGUAGCCGGCCUGAGAGGGUGGUCGGCCGCACUGGGACUGAGACACUGCCCAGACUCCUACGGGAGGCUGCAGUCGAGAAUCUUCCGCAAUGGGCGCAAGCCUGACGGAGCGACGCCGCGUGGAGGACGAAGGCCUUCGGGUUGUAAACUCCUGUCGAGGGUUAUGAAUGGCGCCGGGUGAACAGUCCGGCGAGUGACGUAAGCCCUGAAGGAAGCACUGGCUAACUCUGUGCCAGCAGCCGCGGUAAUACAGAGAGUGCGAACGUUGUUCGGAAUCACUGGGCAUAAAGCGCACGUAGGCGGCACCUCAAGUGCGGAGUGAAAUCCCACGGCUUACCCGUGGAACUGCUUCGCAGACUGUGGUGCUCGAGGAUGGUAGGGGAGAGCGGAACUCCUGGUGGAGCGGUGAAAUGCGUAGAGAUCAGGAGGAACACCGGUGGCGAAGGCGGCUCUCUGGUCCAUUACUGACGCUGAGGUGCGAAAGCCAGGGGAGCAAACGGGAUUAGAUACCCCGGUAGUCCUGGCCGUAAACGAUGGGCACUAAGUAGAGGGGUUUU
rnacentral:rRNA from 2 species